rnacentral:rRNA from 1 species
AUUGAACGCUGGCGGCAUGCCUUACACAUGCAAGUCGAACGGCAGCACGGGUGCUUGCACCUGGUGGCGAGUGGCGAACGGGUGAGUAAUACAUCGGAACAUGUCCUGUAGUGGGGGAUAGCCCGGCGAAAGCCGGAUUAAUACUGCAUACGAUCUACGGAUGAAAGAGGGGGACCGUCGGGCCUCGCGCUAUAGGGUUGGCCGAUGGCUGAUUAGCUAGUUGGUGGGGUAAAGGCCUACCAAGGCGACGAUCAGUAGCUGGUCUGAGAGGACGACCAGCCACACUGGGACUGAGACACGGCCCAGACUCCUACGGGAGGCAGCAGUGGGGAAUUUUGGACAAUGGGCGAAAGCCUGAUCCAGCAAUGCCGCGUGUGUGAAGAAGGCCUUCGGGUUGUAAAGCACUUUUGUCCGGAAAGAAAGCCUUGGCCCUAAUACGGUCGGGGGAUGACGGUACCGGAAGAAUAAGCACCGGCUAACUACGUG